rnacentral:rRNA from 1 species
AGCGAACGCUGGCGGCAGGCUUAACACAUGCAAGUCGAGCGGGCACUUUCGGGUGUCAGCGGCGGACGGGUGAGUAACGCGUGGGAACGUGCCCUCUGGUUCGGAAUAACUCAGGGAAACUUGAGCUAAUACCGGAUACGCCCUUUUGGGGAAAGGCUUGCUGCCGGAGGAUCGGCCCGCGUCUGAUUAGCUAGUUGGUGAGGUAACGGCUCACCAAGGCGACGAUCAGUAGCUGGUCUGAGAGGAUGAUCAGCCACACUGGGACUGAGACACGGCCCAGACUCCUACGGGAGGCAGCAGUGGGGAAUAUUGGACAAUGGGCGCAAGCCUGAUCCAGCCAUGCCGCGUGAGUGAUCAAGGCCUUAGGGUUGUAAAGCUCUUUUAUCCGGGAUGAUAAUGACGGUACCGGAGGAAUAAGCCCCGGCUAACUUCGUG